AGCAACCUUUAAGUGCAAUAUAUAUAUUUCUAAGAUGAAGAUAAUGUAUGGUAAUGAAGAUUUGGAGCAGCAAGAGUGUGUAGUAUGGGGUCUUGCUUACCUCAUUCAAGGAAUAACAAUGAAAGACAGGGGUCAUUGAUUUCGAAAAACUCCGCCUCUUUGUUCGCCUUCUUCCUGAUUUUAAGUUACAGUGAGUCAAUUUCCUUUUUCUGAUUCUAAUCGAUUAAGAACUAUACGUGAUUAACCAACGAAUUGUGGUAGAUUUUAUGUUUCUAUUGCAGUAUUUGGAUUGAAUUGACUGUUGCAA